AAGCCGUGUGAGCGCAGAGUACAAGAACGGCGUGGAUUGUUUCCUGGUACAAGCCGCGACGCACAAGUUAAAUACACAGCCUCAAUACAUGUGCUGUCUAUGCGUCGAUUGCGAGAACAAGAAGUAGUUUUUCACCAUCCAGCAGAUACAUUUUUACCAAGAGUAAGUCAGACCCAAUCAUUAAGGAUGUUCCAAGCAUUGCGGACUUCCUAGCUGAAUCAAGAAUAAUAGCAGAGGAACUAGCACGACUUACUAUGGGAGCGGAUAUCCAAAAGUUGGAUGUUACAUGUCCGUUUGAGUUGACCAAACCUUUGGUCAAACCAGAUAUAGAAAGAAACCUUACAACUCAAAUGCGCCGAUUACAUCAGUGGUACUUGGAGCAUUCUAGACGGGAUUUUCAGACGUUCCUCGUAAGAUAUACAGAUGAUUAUUUUCUAAACGGGGAUGGCUCCUUCUGGGUGUAGUUCAAUGACUUGUAUGAAUUGUAUAAGCCAGAUGCCCUCAAUGUGGCUAUAGUCAGAGUGUAGACUCUAAUGAAGAUCCAAGCAUGCGGACAAGACUUAGAUAAGUAAGUAGGAUUCAUCGAUUUUGGGCUUGUGAACCAGAAACUUAUAAGGGAGAAUCCAGACUUCACCGAGGACUAUUUAUUGACGUGUCUGCUUCACCACAAAUACAAAAAAUUCAUACUCUUACCCUACAAUUAUGAUUUUCAUUGGAUCCUCCUUGUCAUCCACCCAGACUUGAGCAAGUUGUCUUGGACUCACAAAAGAGAGAUCAGACGACUUACCAACACCUCAUCAACAUGCUAAACAGGUUAACUCGAUCAUUUAAUCUUCUCGACGAUUGCAUCUAAGUUUAAUUGGUAUACAUAUUCACAUAUAGGGCGUACACAAGAUACAAAAA